rnacentral:misc_RNA from 1 species
CCGAGUUAUCAACUCCCAAACCCCUGUGAACAUAUCUCUUUUGUUGCUUCGGCGCAAGUACCGGACCUCGCGCCUCGUGGCGAGGCCCGCCAGGAGGACCAAACAAACUCUUGAUUUGAUCUAGUGAUUUACUUCUGAGUGUAUAUAAUAAGUCA